AUUGAACGCUGGCGGCAGGCCUAACACAUGCAAGUCGAACGGUAACAGGGAUCAGCUUGCUGAUUCGCUGACGAGUGGCGGACGGGUGAGUAAUGUCUGGGAAACUGCCUGAUGGAGGGGGAUAACUACUGGAAACGGUAGCUAAUACCGCAUAACGUCGCAAGACCAAAGAGGGGGACCUUCGGGCCUCUUGCCAUCGGAUGUGCCCAGAUGGGAUUAGCUAGUAGGUGGGGUAACGGCUCACCUAGGCGACGAUCCCUAGCUGGUCUGAGAGGAUGACCAGCCACACUGGAACUGAGACACGGUCCAGACUCCUACGGGAGGCAGCAGUGGGGAAUAUUGCACAAUGGGCGCAAGCCUGAUGCAGCCAUGCCGCGUGUAAGAAGAAGGCCUUCGGGUUGUAAAGUACUUUCAGCGGGGAGGAAGGGAGUAAAGUUAAUACCUUUGCUCAUUGACGUUACCCGCAGAAGAAGCACCGGCUAACUCCGUG
rnacentral:rRNA from 1 species